GAGUGAAAUAGAUCCUGAAACCGCAUGCAUACAAGCAGUGGGAGCACCUUCGUGGUGUGACUGCGUACCUUUUGUAUAAUGGGUCAGCGACUUAUAUUCAGUAGCAAGGUUAACCGUAUAGGGGAGCCGUAGAGAAAUCGAGUCUUAAUAGGGCGUUUAGUUGCUGGGUAUAGACCCGAAACCAGGCGAUCUAUCCAUGAGCAGGUUGAAGGUUGGGUAACACUAACUGGAGGACCGAACCCACUGUCGUUGAAAAGCCAGGGGAUGACUUGUGGAUAGGGGUGAAAGGCUAAUCAAGCCUGGUGAUAGCUGGUUCUCCCCGAAAGCUAUUUAGGUAGCGCCUCGGACGAAUACCAUAGGGGGUAGAGCACUGUUUCGGCUAGGGGGUCAUCCCGACUUACCAAACCGAUGCAAACUCCGAAUACCUAUGAGUACUAUCCGGGAGACAGACUGCGGGUGCUAACGUCCGUAGUCAAGAGGAAAACAAUCCAGACCGCCAGCUAAGGCCCCAAAAUCAUAGUUAAGUGGGAAACGAUGUGGGAAGGCAUAGACAGCUAGGAGGUUGGCUUAGAAGCAGCCACCCUUUAAAGAAAGCGUAAUAGCUCACUAGUCGAGUCGGCCUGCGCGGAAGAUGUAACGGGGCUAAAACUAUGUGCCGAAGCUGCGGAUUUGACAUUAGUCAAGUGGUAGGGGAGCGUUCUGUAAGCCGAUGAAGGUGUAUUGAGAAGUAUGCUGGAGGUAUCAGAAGUGCGAAUGCUGACGUGAGUAACGACAAAACGGGUGAAAAACCCGUUCGCCGAAAGACCAAGGGUUCCAGUCCAACGUUAAUCGGGGCUGGGUGAGUCGACCCCUAAGGCGAGGCCGAAAGGCGUAGUCGAUGGGAAAAUGGUUAAUAUUCCAUUACUUCUGUGUAAUGCGAUGAGAGGACGGAGAAGGCUAAAUCAGCCUGGCGUUGGUUGUCCAGGUGAAAGGAUGUAGGCAUGUAUCUUAGGCAAAUCCGGGGUACUCUAUGCUGAGAUCUGAUAGCAAGCUGUACUUGUACAGCGAAGUGGUUGAUGCCAUGCUUCCAGGAAAAGUCUCUAAGCUUCAGUUACACAGGAAUCGUACCCGAAACCGACACAGGUGGUCAGGUCGAGUAGACCAAGGCGCUUGAGAGAACUCUGCUGAAGGAACUAGGCAAAAUGGUACCGUAACUUCGGGAGAAGGUACGCUGUUGUUGGUGAUGGAACUCGCUUCCUGAGCUGACGACAGCCGCAGAAACCAGGCCGCUGCAACUGUUUAUUAAAAACAUAGCACUCUGCAAACACGAAAGUGGACGUAUAGGGUGUGAUGCCUGCCCGGUGCUGGAAGGUUAAUUGAUGGGGUUAGCGUAAGCGAAGCUCUUGAUCGAAGCCCCAGUAAACGGCGGCCGUAACUAUAACGGUCCUAAGGUAGCGAAAUUCCUUGUCGGGUAAGUUCCGACCUGCACGAAUGGCAUAAUGAUGGCGGCGCUGUCUCCAGCAGAGGCUCAGUGAAAUCGAAAUCGCUGUGAAGAUGCAGUGUACCCGCGGCUAGACGGAAAGACCCCGUGAACCUUUACUGCAGCUUGACACUGAACUUUGACCUUACUUGUGUAGGAUAGGUGGGAGGCUUUGAAGCUGGAACGCUAGUUCCAGUGGAGCCGUCCUUGAAAUACCACCCUGGUAAUGUUGAGGUUCUAACUCUGUCCCGUGAUCCGGGACGAGGACCGUGUCUGGUGGGUAGUUUGACUGGGGCGGUCUCCUCCUAAAGAGUAACGGAGGAGUACGAAGGUGCGCUCAGCGUGGUCGGAAAUCACGCGUAGAGUAUAAAGGCAAAAGCGCGCUUAACUGCGAGACCCACAAGUCGAGCAGGUACGAAAGUAGGUCUUAGUGAUCCGGUGGUUCUGUAUGGAAGGGCCAUCGCUCAACGGAUAAAAGGUACUCUGGGGAUAACAGGCUGAUACCGCCCAAGAGUUCAUAUCGACGGCGGUGUUUGGCACCUCGAUGUCGGCUCAUCUCAUCCUGGGGCUGAAGCAGGUCCCAAGGGUAUGGCUGUUCGCCAUUUAAAGAGGUACGCGAGCUGGGUUUAGAACGUCGUGAGACAGUUCGGUCCCUAUCUACCGUGGGCGCUGGAAAUUUGAGAGGAUCUGCUCCUAGUACGAGAGGACCAGAGUGGACGAACCUCUGGUGUACCGGUUGUGACGCCAGUCGCAUCGCCGGGUAGCUAUGUUCGGAAGGGAUAACCGCUGAAAGCAUCUAAGCGGGAAGCCUACCUCAAGAUAAGAU
rnacentral:rRNA from 1 species